CCACUCAACCACUUAUCAUUUUCUAAAAAUCUACCUUGUUUUUUAUUUUAUUUAAGAAAUCGUUAGGAAAAUCCAACACAAUUGUCAAUUGGACUGGAUUUUCUAGAAAAAUUAGGCCGAUUGGUCUGCCCAACCCAUAUUCCUUUAAAGAUCGAUCCUAAUUUUGGUUUCAAUCCUAUAGAAUCUCUUUUUUAUCUUCUACAGGAUUUAAGCUGGGGAGAUAUUGAAU
rnacentral:lncRNA from 1 species